UACGAAGGGGGCUAGCGUUGCUCGGAAUCACUGGGCGUAAAGGGUGCGUAGGCGGGUCUUAAGUCAGGGGUGAAAUUCUGGAGCUCAACUCCAGAACUGCCUUUGAUACUGAAGAUCUUGAGUUCGGGAGAGGUGAGUGGAACUGCGAGUGUAGAGGUGAAAAUUCGUAGAUAUUCGCAAGAACACCAGUGGCGAAGGCGGCUCACUGGCCCGAUACUGACGCUGAGGCACGAAAGCGUGGGGGAGCAAACA
rnacentral:rRNA from 1 species